rnacentral:rRNA from 1 species
UUUGAAAUCUGGCGUCCUCAGGGCGUCCGAGUUGUAAUCUAUAGAGGCGUUUUCCGUGCCGGACCGUGUCCAAGUUCCUUGGAACAGGAUAUCAAAGAGGGUGACAAUCCCGUACUUGACACGACGACCGGUGCUCUGUGAUACGUCUUCUACGAGUCGAGUUGUUUGGGAAUGCAGCUCAAAAUGGGUGGUGAGUUCCAUCUAAAGCUAAAUAUUGGCGAGAGACCGAUAGCGAACAAGUACCGUGAGGGAAAGAUGAAAAGCACUUUGGAAAGAGAGUUAAACAGUACGUGAAAUUGUUGAAAGGGAAACGAUUGAAGUCAGUCGUGACCGAGAGGCUCAGCCGGUUCUGCCGGUGUAUUCCCCUCGGUCGGGUCAACAUCAGUUUUGUCCGGUGGAUAAGGGCGGUAGGAAGGUGGCACCCUCGGGUGUGUUAUAGCCUGCCGUCGCAUACAUCGGGUGAGACUGAGGAACGCAGCUCGCCUUUAUGGCCGGGGUUCGCCCACGUCCGAGCUUAGGAUGUUGACAUAAUGGCUUUAAACGACCCGUCUUGAA